AUGUAGCGCCAUUGGUAUAACACUCGCUGGAUGGAAUGAAUGUCACAGCAGUUACCUGCAAACAUAGCUAACAUCAACUUUGGCUAAUAGCGUUAGCUUCCUAGCUAGCUAGCUUGUUUGGCUGGCUUUGGGAAGCAUAGUUCUUCACGGUGGUCAUCUCUAAUAAGCAAGUAACAACAGACAAGUUACCUUCGGAUUUUGUUGAUAUAGACUACGUCACCCCAAAAUAGAGAUGAGUUGUCAAGGUGAUCACACCCCUCCAUUGAGGGUGUUGGUGACAGGAGGAUCCGGCUUGGUGGGCAGGGCUAUACAGCAUGUGGUGAAAGAGGAGGGAGGAGCCAAGGAAGGGGAAGAAUGGAUAUUUCUCUCCUCCAAAGAUGCCAACCUCACGAACAUGGAGGAGACACGGGCAGUGUUUGAAAAAUAUCGGCCGACCCACGUCAUUCACCUGGCUGCUAUGGUUGGGGGGCUUUUCAAGAACAUGAAGUAUAACCUGGACUUUUGG